AUUGAACGCUGGCGGCAGGCUUAACACAUGCAAGUCGAGCGGGGAAUGGUAGCUUGCUACCUGACCUAGCGGCGGACGGGUGAGUAAUGCUUAGGAAUCUGCCUAUUAGUGGGGGACAACAUUCCGAAAGGAAUGCUAAUACCGCAUACGCCCUACGGGGGAAAGCAGGGGAUCUUCGGACCUUGCGCUAAUAGAUGAGCCUAAGUCAGAUUAGCUAGUUGGUGGGGUAAAGGCCUACCAAGGCGACGAUCUGUAGCGGGUCUGAGAGGAUGAUCCGCCACACUGGGACUGAGACACGGCCCAGACUCCUACGGGAGGCAGCAGUGGGGAAUAUUGGACAAUGGGCGAAAGCCUGAUCCAGCCAUGCCGCGUGUGUGAAGAAGGCCUUUUGGUUGUAAAGCACUUUAAGCGAGGAGGAGGCUACUUGGAUUAAUACUCUAGGAUAGUGGACGUUACUCGCAGAAUAAGCACCGGCUAACUCUGUGCCAGCAGCCGCGGUAAUACAGAGGGUGCGAGCGUUAAUCGGAUUUACUGGGCGUAAAGCGUGCGUAGGCGGCUUUUUAAGUCGGAUGUGAAAUCCCUGAGCUUAACUUAGGAAUUGCAUUCGAUACUGGGAAGCUAGAGUAUGGGAGAGGAUGGUAGAAUUCCAGGUGUAGCGGUGAAAUGCGUAGAGAUCUGGAGGAAUACCGAUGGCGAAGGCAGCCAUCUGGCCUAAUACUGACGCUGAGGUACGAAAGCAUGGGGAGCAAACAGGAUUAGAUACCCUGGUAGUCCAUGCCGUAAACGAUGUCUACUAGCCGUUGGGGCCUUUGAGGCUUUAGUGGCGCAGCUAACGCGACAAGUAGACCGCCUGGGGAGUACGGUCGCAAGACUAAAACUCAAAUGAAUUGACGGGGGCCCGCACAAGCGGUGGAGCAUGUGGUUUAAUUCGAUGCAACGCGAAGAACCUUACCUGGUCUUGACAUAGUAAGAACUUUCCAGAGAUGGAUUGGUGCCUUCGGGAACUUACAUACAGGUGCUGCAUGGCUGUCGUCAGCUCGUGUCGUGGGAUGUUGGGUUAAGUCCCGCAACGAGCGCAACCCUUUUCCUUAUUUGCCAGCGGGUUAAGCCGGGAACUUUAAGGAUACUGCCAGUGACAAACUGGAGGAAGGCGGGGACGACGUCAAGUCAUCAUGGCCCUUACGACCAGGGCUACACACGUGCUACAAUGGUCGGUACAAAGGGUUGCUACCUAGCGAUAGGAUGCUAAUCUCAAAAAGCCGAUCGUAGUCCGGAUUGGAGUCUGCAACUCGACUCCAUGAAGUCGGAAUCGCUAGUAAUCGCGGAUCAGAAUGCCGCGGUGAAUACGUUCCCGGGCCU
rnacentral:rRNA from 1 species